rnacentral:rRNA from 1 species
GUUGAUAAGGUUAAGUGAAUAAGGGCGCACGGUGGAUGCCUUGGCACUAGGAGCCGAUGAAGGACGGGACUAACACCGAUAUGCUUUGGGGAGCUGUACGUAAGCUAUGAUCCAGAGAUUUCCGAAUGGGGGAACCCAACAUCUUUAAUAGGAUGUUACGAUUGUGUGAAUACAUAGCACAUUCGAGGUAGACGCAGAGAACUGAAACAUCUAAGUACCUGCAGGAAGAGAAAGAAAAUUCGAUUCCCUGAGUAGCGGCGAGCGAAACGGGAAAAGCCCAAACCAGCAAGCUUGCUUGUUGGGGUUGUAGGACUCC